CUACGGACUUAACCCUCUAUCCCCAAAAAAGGACCUAUUUGACUCCCAAAAUAUUUAUCCCA
rnacentral:tRNA from 1 species